UCGGCGGUAAACCCGCGAAAAACCGGUGAAUUUACCGUUUUCGAGGCUAUGCAUUUGCUACAUGGAUUAUGGAUGGACAAUACUUUCGAUUACUGUGGAAGCAAUGUGUUGUAUUAAUUGGACUACGGACUUAAUUGUAAUAAUUUUAAUAGACUUUGUACUUUGGACUAAGUACGUGUGCACUUUGGACAUGAAUUAUGUGUUUCGUUUUCGUA